rnacentral:rRNA from 1 species
AUUGAACGCUGGCGGCAGGCCUAACACAUGCAAGUCGAACGAGUGGCGGACGGGUGAGUAAUGUAUGGGAAACUGCCCGAUGGAGGGGGAUAACUACUGGAAACGGUAGCUAAUACCGCAUACCAUCGGUUGUGCCCAGAUGGGAUUAGCUGGUAGGUGGGGUAACGGCUCACCUAGGCGACGAUCCCUAGCUGGUCUGAAAGGAUGACCGGCAACACUGGAACGGAGACAGGCUCCAGACUCCUAGGGGGGGCAGCGGUGGGGAAUAGUGCACAAGGGGCGAAAGCCUGAUGCAGCCAGGCGGCGGGUAUGAAGAAGGCUUGCGGGUGGUAAAGUUCUUUCGGUAGCGAGGCGUUAACUACAGAAGAAGCACCGGCUAACUCCGUGCCAGCAGCCGCGGUAAUAC